ACUGACCUGNGUGCUCUAAGACAAUAGCCGCAAGGAGUUGUCCAAGGUAAAAUCGAUAACUGGUGUU
rnacentral:rRNA from 1 species